rnacentral:lncRNA from 1 species
AUGUGUUCCCGGUGGGUCUAUCGUCAGUGUUCUAGUGCAAAUAAUAUAUCUAUGUUUUUCAAAGCACGUCAAGACCAAAACAAAGCGAACGGACGGCAGGAAAUUAAAGAGGCCGCCCUAAGCACCAUGCCUGUUUUGAUCCUUGUUCCCCUUCUCGCCUCGCCCUAUCCGACUGGACACCACAUCUCGUCUUCAACUCAUUCCGACACUGUGAGAUCCUAUGGUCACGCCUUAGUCCGAAGGGCUAAACGGGCUUUUGGGCUUUAUAAAGAAAUGUGA